CGAAUCCAGAACUAGUCCAUUUUCACGUUCAUACGAAAGUUUUGAAAGGUGCACCAGCCUCACGUUGUCUGUUUCAUGUUCAUAUUACUGAGACUGAGAAAGUUUCUAAGAGUGCUCAAGGCUAACAUUUCCUUACCAGUUCCUCGUUAAUUUUGCUCAACUUGAGGAAGUUUUUCAGUGUGCUCCAUGGCCCACUAUAUCUCAGGCCACCAGAGCUAGUUUUAUUUCUGCUUUUAUAGUUUGUG